ACAUUUUAGGUGGUGUCGGAAUUAGUCUAUAGCUCUGCCUGAACUGCUGUCCAAUUGGUUUACAAGUCCGGCUGAAGUGACAGGCCAUCAAAAACUGCACAGUAUGACUGAUUCGGAGACGGCCCUCAACACUCGCCCAGUCGUGUCGAGAGGAUCGGUGUCUUUGCAGAUUACACGGAAUUGAGCACCCGGGCCAGACUGACACUUUCCGGAGCCUGUCCGAGACGGAACUCGAGCCGAGGAAUCAUAGGUCCAGGUGUGACAGAAAACUUAAAGCUCAUGUCUGACGAUGACUUUUUUUGCGUCAGGAAGUAAAGUGUGUUGUUUUCCCAUGCAAGCAAGCCCUUUUGUUGGGUCAAAUGACAUCAGAAAUGCUGCUUCUACAUGGAUUUUACCUAAAAUGUGCCAAAAAAUAUAUAAAAAGUUUGUUCGGAUCUUGUUCAAAACCUGCUAUGAUGCACAUAUAAUGCCAUUGAUGAUUUGUUUUCACUUAUUAAGUCAUAUGUUACAUCUGCUAUGCUAUUAGAAUCGAAAGUGAUGCCUUGUAUGGAGUCUAAGUGCUGUCUGUAUGAUGUAACCAAGGUCGGCUUUUCUACCUUAAUUCUUGACGCGAAACGCUGUUACGCGUGACGCUUUCAACGUCAACUUUAAUGAAUAAAUCUGUGUGUCAUGGUA